GGGCUUGGUGGAAGAGCUUCUGCUUUGCAUGCAGAAGGUCCCAGGUUCGAUCCCUGGCAUCUCCA
rnacentral:tRNA from 1 species